ensembl:lncRNA
UUAUGAGAACCGAUGACAACAGGGCAACUUGCAAAGUAGAUAUUUCAUUUAAGGGAGGAAACACUACGAAUAUGCAAAAGCAUUUGCUCACAAAACACGCGAUGACACGCGUUUUUAAUUCCGCUUCGGACUCGUGACUCUCAACCCAGCAGCAGCGCUAACGUUUGCACGUCCUCUCCCGUUAAUGCGGCAGAUUCAGUCACCCCAGCCAUAAACUGUUCAGACUGCUUCCAUCAGGAAGGAGGUUCUGCAGCAUCCGGUCCCGUACCAGCAGACUGAGAGACAGCUUCUUCCAUCAGGCCAUCAGACUGCUGAACACGUCAUAGACACCUCAGCUUCACUACUGGAACUUCAACAUUAUGCACUCCACACUGUAUAUAAAUGCCACUUGUUUUGCACAUAUUCAACUCUGUAUAUUUUAUAUAUUUUAUUAUUAUUAUUUUUUUUUUUUUUUACUAUUUAAUUUGUAAAAAAUGUGUAUACACACACACACACACACACACACACACACACACACACACACACACACGUAGGAAAAUAUUUAGUAUACACAUCCAGAAAUGCAUACACUAUUAUAUAUUGUACAUAUAUUUAUUAGUUUCAGGUUGGCCAUUCUUGUAUUUUGCUCGUUUGUGUUGUUGUGUUUGCACAUCUCUGUUGCUUGUGGGGCUCGCACACAAGAAUUUCACUCGCAUGUGCUGUGCCAGUGUGCCUGCACAUGUGAUGUGACAAUAAAAG